UCUAGGUAUAGCAUUAUACAGCGAAACUGCGAAUGGCUCAUUAAAUCAGUUAUCGUUUAUUUGAUAGUACCUUACUACUUGGAUAACCGUGGUAAUUCUAGAGCUAAUACAUGCUAAAAAUCCCGACUCACGGAGGGAUGUAUUUAUUAGAUUAAAAACCAAUGCCCCUCGGGGCUUUCUGGUGAUUCAUAAUAACUUCUCGAAUCGCAUGGCCUUGCGCCGGCGAUGGUUCAUUCAAAUUUCUGCCCUAUCAACUUUCGAUGGCAGGGUCUUGGCCUGCCAUGGUUACAACGGGUAACGGAGGGUUAGGGCUCGACCCCGGAGAAGGAGCCUGAGAAACGGCUACUACAUCCAAGGAAGGCAGCAGGCGCGCAAAUUACCCAAUCCCGACACGGGGAGGUAGUGACAAUAAAUACUGAUACAGGGCUCUUUUGGGUCUUGUAAUUGGAAUGAGUACAAUUUAAAUCCCUUAACGAGGAACAAUUGGAGGGCAAGUCUGGUGCCAGCAGCCGCGGUAAUUCCAGCUCCAAUAGCGUAUAUUAAAGUUGUUGCAGUUAAAAAGCUCGUAGUUGAACCUUGGGCCUGGCUGGCCGGUCCGCCUCACCGCGUGCACUGGUUCGGCCGGGCCUUUCCCUCUGGGGAGCCCUAUGCCUUUCAUUAGGUGUAGUGGGGAACCAGGACUUUUACUGUGAAAAAAUUAGAGUGUUCAAAGCAGGCCUAUGCUCGAAUACAUCAGCAUGGAAUAAUAGAAUAGGACGUGUGGUUCUAUUUUGUUGGUUUCUAGGACCGCCGUAAUGAUUAAUAGGGACAGUCGGGGGUGUCAGUAUUCAAUUGUCAGAGGUGAAAUUCUUGGAUUUAUUGAAGACUAACUACUGCGAAAGCAUUCACCAAGGAUGUUUC
rnacentral:rRNA from 1 species